GAAGUCGUUACUUCAACCCUUGUGGAGGAGGACGCCGAAGGUGGGGCUAAUGACUGGGGUGAAGUCGUAACAAGGUAGCCGUACCGGAAGGUGCGGCUGGAUCACCUCCUAACAGGGAGACAACAAAAUGUAAAUAUUAAUUUUGUCACCUUAGGUCGAUCGGUAUCUCAGAUUCUUAUUAUUUAAGAAUUUCAGUUUCUAAGUUUUUUCUAGGUCACACCCAUCACUUUUUCCUGGGCCAUUAGCUCAGGUGGUUAGAGCGCACCCCUGAUAAGGGUGAGGUCCCUGGUUCAAGUCCAGGAUGGCCCAUAUCUCUAUGUUGGGGGUAUAGCUCAGUUGGUAGAGCGCCUGCUUUGCAAGCAGGAUGUCAGCGGUUCGAGUCCGCUUACCUCCACUGAAUACCACCUCUUACAUAUAGUUGAAGUGGGAAAUUGUUUUGAGUCGUGUCCUAAUUUGCUCUGAGCGAAUCUAGCUUCCUAUUUUAUCCAAGAAAUAAGAUGCUGGACUCAUUGAAUUUUUUUUCAUUGUUUUCAGAGAACCUUGACAACUGCAUAGAUUAUUUUUAAAGACAAUAAGCAUCUUUAAUGAUGCAGAUUUAUUAUUUGUGCGAAUGCAUUAAAUAACAAUUCUAUUAAGCUGAUGCUUCAAUUAUUGAAGUUAUUGGUCAAGCUACAAAGGGCUCACGGAGGAUACCUAGGCACACAGAGGCGAUGAA
rnacentral:misc_RNA from 1 species